rnacentral:rRNA from 1 species
UACGAAGGGGGCUAGCGUUGCUCGGAAUUACUGGGCGUAAAGGGCGCGUAGGCGGCCUGUUAAGUCGAACGUGAAAUCCCCAGGCUCAACCUGGGAACUGCGUCCGAUACUGGCAGGCUUGAAUCCGGGAGAGGGAUGCGGAAUUCCAGGUGUAGCGGUGAAAUGCGUAGAUAUCUGGAGGACACCGGUGGCGAAGGCGGCAUCCUGGACCGGCAUUGACGCUGAGGCGCGAAAGCCCAGGGGAGCAAACGGGG